UACCAGCACCCCGAGUGGUCGGGACGAUUAUUGGGCCUAAAGCAUCCGUAGCCGGUUCUACAAGUCUUCCGUUAAAUCCACCUGCUUAACAGAUGGGCUGCGGAGGAUACUAUAGAGCUAGGAGGCGGGAGAGGCAAGCGGUACUUAGUGGGUAGGGUAAAAUCCUCUGAUCCAUUGAAGACCACCAGUGGCGAAGGCGGCUUGCCAAUACGCGCUCGACGGUGAGGGAUGAAAGCUGGGGAGCAAACCGG
rnacentral:rRNA from 1 species